rnacentral:rRNA from 1 species
GGAUUGUAGUCUGNAACCCGACUACAUGAAGCUGGAAUCGCUAGUAAUCGCAGGUCAGCAUACUGCGGUGAAUACGUUCCCGGGUCUUGUACACACCGCCCGUCACACCAUGGGAGCCGGAAAUGCCCGAAGCCAGUGACCCAACCUUAGGGAGGGAGCUGUCGAAGGUGGAGCCGGUAACUGGGGUGAAGUCGUAACAAGGUAUC